AGAGUUUGAUCCUGGCUCAGAAUCAACGCUGGCGGCGUGCCUAACACAUGCAAGUCGAACGCGAAAGUGGAGCAAUCCAUGAGUAGAGUGGCAAACGGGUGAGUAACGCGUGGGCGACCUACCUCAGAGUGGGGGAUAACCUUCCGAAAGGAGGGCUAAUACCGCAUGACAUCCCUCGUUUAGAUACGAGGUGAUCAAAGCCGGGGAUCGUAAGACCUGGCGCUUGGAGAGGGGCCCGCGUCCGAUUAGCUAGUUGGUGAGGUAACGGCUCACCAAGGCUCCGAUCGGUAUCCGGCCUGAGAGGGCGGACGGACACACUGGAACUGAGACACGGUCCAGACUCCUACGGGAGGCAGCAGUGGGGAAUUGUUCGCAAUGGGCGCAAGCCUGACGACGCAACGCCGCGUGGAGGAUGAAGACCUUCGGGUCGUAAACUCCUUUCGACCGAGAUGAAUUCCCACCGGCCUAACAUGCCGGCGGGUUGACAGUAUCGAGGGAAGCAGCCCCGGCUAACUCCGUGCCAGCAGCCGCGGUA
rnacentral:rRNA from 1 species